GGGUCCCCGCACAAGCAGCGGAGCGUGUGGUUUAAUUCGAUGCUACACGAAGAACCUUACCUGGGUUUGACAUAGAGGUAGUAGGGAAGCGAAAGCGGACCGACCUUCGGGGAGCCUCUACAGGUGUUGCAUGGCUGUCGUCAGCUCGUGUCGUGAGAUGUUCGGUUAAGUCCGCUAACGAGCGCAACCCUCGCUGUGUGUUACAAGUGUCACACGGUACUGCCGAUAUUAAAGUCGGAGGAAGGUGGGGAUGACGUCAAGUCAGCAUGACCUUUAUAUCCAGGGCUACACACACGCUACAAUGGCCAGUACAAUGGGUUGCCAAGCCGCGAGGCGGAGCCAAUCCUAAAAAGCUGGCCUCAGUUCAGAUUGCAGUCUGCAACUCGACUGCAUGAAGUUGGAGUUGCUAGUAACCGCAGGUCAGCAAUACUGCGGUGAAUACGUUCCCGGGGAUU
rnacentral:rRNA from 1 species